rnacentral:rRNA from 1 species
GACGAACGCUGGCGGCGUGGAUUAGGCAUGCAAGUCGAACGGUAGGAUACCUUCGGGUAUCUGAGAGUGGCGAACGGGUGAGUAACACGUAGGUGAUCUACCCUCAAGAUUGGGACAACCCAGGGAAACUUGGGCUAAUACCGGAUGAAAGCAGCAGUGAUGUUGUUUGAAAGGUGGCGUAAGCUGCCGUUUGGGGAUGAGCCUGCGCUCUAUUAGUUAGUUGGCGGGGUAAAGGCCCACCAAGGCGAUGAUAGAUAGGCGGCCUUAACGGGUGGUCGCCCACACUGGGAUUGAGAUACGGCCCAGACUCCUACGGGAGGCAGCAGUCGAGAAUAGUCUACAAUGGCCGAAAGGCUGAUAGUGCGACGCCGCGUGAACGAGAAGCCCUUCGGGUGUAAGUUCUUUUAUUAUGUGAGCAGUGCUUUCUAUGUGAACAGCAUGGGAGGAGAGAUAUUAGCAUAUGAAUAAGCAACGGCUAACUCCGUGCCAGCAGCCG